rnacentral:rRNA from 1 species
UCCUCCCUCUUUCUUCGUGCUUAACACAUGCAAGUCGAACGAUGAAGCCUAGCUUGCUAGGUGGAUUAGUGGCGAACGGGUGAGUAAUACGUGAGUAACCUACCUUUAACUCUGGGAUAAGCCUGGGAAACUGGGUCUAAUACCGGAUACGACCAAUCUCCGCAUGGGGUGUUGGUGGAAAGCGUUAUGUAGUGGUUAUAGAUGGGCUCACGGCCUAUCAGCUUGUUGGUGAGGUAACGGCUCACCAAGGCGCCGACGGGUAGCCGGCCUGAGAGGGUGACCGGCCACACUGGGACUGAGACACGGCCCAGACUCCUACGGGAGGCAGCAGUGGGGAAUAUUGCACAAUGGGCGCAAGCCUGAUGCAGCGACGCCGCGUGAGGGAUGACGGCCUUCGGGUUGUAAACCUCUGUUAGCAGGGAAGAAGAGAAAUUGACGGUACCUGCAGAGAAAGCGCCGGCUAACUACGUG